rnacentral:rRNA from 1 species
GGGAGGCGACGACCGGCAAAUGGGUGAGUAAUACAUAUGCAACUUGCCCGUAGCUGGAGGAUAGCUUCCGGAAACGGAAAUUAAUACUCCAUAAUAUCCUAAUAUCGCAUGUUAUAAGGAUUAAAGUUUCGACGGCUACGGAUGGGCAUAUGUCCCAUUAGCUUGUUGGUGAGGUAACGGCUCACCAAAGCUACGAUGGGUAAGGGGGCCUUGAGAGGGGUGAUCCCCCACACUGGUACUGAGACACGGACCAGACUCCUACGGGAGGCAGCAGUGAGGAAUAUUGGUCAAUGGGCGAAAGCCUGAACCAGCCAUGCCGCGUGCAUGAUGACUGUCCUAUGGAUUGUAAACUGCUUUUCUGCAGGAAGAAACGCUUCUACGUGUAGAGGUUUGACGGUACUGCAGGAAUAAGCAUCGGCUAACUCCGUGCCAGCAGCCGCGGUAAUAACGGAGGAUGCAAGCGUUAUCCGGAUUCAUUGGGUUUAAAGGGUGCGUAGGCGGAUUGGUAAGUCAAAGGUGAAAGUCUGUAGCAUAACUAUAGAAGUGCCUUUGAUACUGCUAGUCUUGAGUACAGUUGGAGGCGAGUGGAAUGUGUAGUGUAGCGGUGAAAUGCCUAGAUACUACACAGAACACCAAUUGUGAGGACAGCUCGCUAAGCUGCUACUGACGCUCAGGCACGAAAGCGUGGAGAGCGAACAGGAUUAGAUACCCUGGUAGUCCACUCUGUAAACUAUGAUCACUAACAUGUUGGCGAUAAAUUGUCAGUGUCUGAUCGAAAGCGUUAAGUGAUCCACCUGGGGAGUACGAUCGCAAGGUUGAACUUCAAAGGAAUUGACGGGGGCCCGCACAAUCGGUGGAACAUGUGGUUUAACUCGAUGAUACGCGAGGAACCUUACCUGGGCUUAAAUGUAGUACGACGUCCUGAGAAAUCGGGAUUCCCUUCGGGGCGGACUACUAGGUGCUGCAUGGUUGUCGUCAGCUCGUGCCGUGAGGUAUCGGGUUAAGUCCCAUAACGAGCGCAACCCCUAUUGUUAGUUGCCAGCGGAUUAUGCCGGGGACUCUAACUUAACUGCCCGUGUAUACGGGAGGAAGGUGGGGAUGACGU